rnacentral:rRNA from 1 species
UACGGGGGGGGCAAGCGUUGUUCGGAACUACUGGGCGUAAAGGGCGCGUAGGCGGCUAGGCAAGUCAGGUGUGAAAGCCCCGAGCUUAACUCGGGAACUGCAUCUGAAACUGCUGGGCUUGAGUUUGGGAGAGGGAUGCGGAAUUCCAGGUGUAGCGGUGAAAUGCGUAGAUAUCUGGAGGAACACCGGUGGCGAAGGCGGCAUCCUGGACCAACACUGACGCUGAGUGAGCGAAAGCCAGGGGAGCAAACAGG